CACGUAGGGGACGAGCGUUGUCCGGAUUUAUUGGGCGUAAAGAGCGUGUAGGCGGCCAGACAGGUCCGUUGUGAAAACUCGAGGCUCAACCUCGAGACGCCGAUGGAAACCGUCUGGCUAGAGUCCGGAAGAGGAGAGUGGAAUUCCUGGUGUAGCGGUGAAAUGCGCAGAUAUCAGGAAGAACACCCGUGGCUAAGGCGGCUCUCUAGUACGGUACUGACGCUGAGACGCGAAAGCGUGGGGAGCGAACAGG
rnacentral:rRNA from 1 species